rnacentral:rRNA from 1 species
CCCUUAGAUGUUCUGGGCCGCACGCGCGCUACACUGAUGCAUUCAACGAGUCUAAAACCUGGUCUGAUAGGGCUGGGUAGUCUUUUGAAAGUGCAUCGUGAUUGGGAUAGAUGAUUGCAAUUCUUCAUCUUCAACGAGGAAUGCCUAGUAAACGCAAGUCAUCAGCUUGCAUUGAUUACGUCCCUGCCCUUUGUACACACCGCCCGUCGCUCCUACCGAUUGAAUGAUCCGAUGAAUACCAUGGAUUGAGAGUACGAAUAGGUUCGCUUAUUUCUGCUGCUCGAGAAGUGGAGUAAAUCUUAUCAUUUAGAGGAAGGAGAAGUCGUAACA